rnacentral:lncRNA from 1 species
GGGUCGCAGUUUGAAAGGUUGACGCCAGGAUUCUCGCAGGACGCCUGGGACAGGGCCUCUUGGAACCCCUCCUCGAAGGUGCCCGCCAUCUCCUGGAUAAGGGAUUUUUUCUCCUUCUCCAGUUCCUCAAUGGCGGCGUCUCCAGAGGCCACCUGCUUCUCCAGAGCCUCUUUCUCCACGCGAAGCCGGCUAACCUCAACCUGCAGUUUGUCGUAGUCAACUCGGAGAAGGUCCAUAGCUUUGGCCUGCGUGGCCAUCUCCUCCUCCAU